rnacentral:rRNA from 1 species
AGGUAGUGACAAAAUGAUCCAAUACAGGACAUCUAAUGUCUUGUAAUUGGAAUGAGAACAAUUUAAAUCCCUUAUCGAGGAUCCAUUGGAGGGCAAGUCUGGUGCCAGCAGCCGCGGUAAUUCCAGCUCCAAUAGCGUAUAUUAAAGUUGUUGCAGUUAAAAAGCUCGUAGUCAGAUUUUGGCACCAUGCCGAACUGUCUGCCGAUUGGUAUGCACGGUUUGGCGGGUGCUUCCUUCCGGAAGCCCGCGUUCUUCUUCACUGAAGAGCGUGGUGAGUCCGGAUCAUUUACUUUGAAAAAAUUAGAGUGUUCAAAGCAGGCCUAUGCUCUGAAUAGGUUAGCAUGGAAUAAUAGAAUAGGACUUCGGUACUAUUUUGUUGGUUUCUAGGACCGAAGUAAUGAUUAAUAGGGACAGUUGGGGGCAUUCAUAUUCCAUUGUCAGAGGUGAAAUUCUUGGAUUAACGGAAGAUGAACUACUGCGAAAGCAUCUGCCAAGGAUGUUUUCAUUGAUCAAGAACGAAAGUUAGGGGAUCGAAGACGAUCAGAUACCGUCGUAGUCUUAACCAUAAACUAUGCCGACUAGGGAUGUGGAGACGCUACUUAAUGGCUCUCCCUGCACCUUAUGAGAAAUCAAAGUCUUUGGGUUCCGGGGGGAGUAUGGUCGCAAGG